rnacentral:rRNA from 1 species
CCUACGGGUGGCAGCAGUGAGGAAUAUUGGUCAAUGGACGCAAGUCUGAACCAGCCAAGCCGCGUGCAGGAAGACGGCUCUAUGGGUUGUAAACUGCUUUUGUUUGGGAGUAAAAGCAGACACGCGUGCCUGUCUGAGAGUAUCCUAAGAAUAAGGAUCGGCUAACUCCGUGCCAGCAGCCGCGGUAAUACGGAGGAUUCAAGCGUUAUCCGGAUUUAUUGGGUUUAAAGGGUGCGUAGGCGGGAGGUUAAGUUAGAGGUGAAAGCCCGAGGCUCAACUUCGGAAGUGCCGUUGAUACUGGUUGGCUAGAGUGAAGUUGGGGUAGGCGGAAUGCGUGGUGUAGCGGUGAAAUGCUUAGAGAUCAUGCAGAACACCGAUUGCGAAGGCAGCUUACCGGGCUACAACUGACGCUGAGGCACGAAAGUGUGGGGAGCAAACAGGAUUAGAUACCCGUGUAGUC